rnacentral:rRNA from 1 species
AGGCGAUGGAUAACAGGUUGAUAUUCCUGUACCACCUAUAAUCGUUUUAAUCGAUGGGGGGACGCAGUAGGAUAGGCGAAGCGUGCGAUUGGAUUGCACGUCUAAGCAGUAAGGCUGAGUAUUAGGCAAAUCCGGUACUCGUUAAGGCUGAGCUGUGAUGGGGAGAAGACAUUGUGUCUUCGAGUCGUUGAUUUCACACUGCCGAGAAAAGCCUCUAGAUAGAAAAUAGGUGCCCGUACCGCAAACCGACACAGGUAGUCAAGAUGAGAAUUCUAAGGUGAGCGAGCGAACUCUCGUUAAGGAACUCGGCAAAAUGACCCCGUAACUUCGGGAGAAGGGGUGCUCUUUAGGGUUAACGCCCAGAAGAGCCGCAGUGAAUAGGCCCAAGCGACUGUUUAUCAAAAACACAGGUCUCUGCUAAACCGUAAGGUGAUGUAUAGGGGCUGACGCCUGCCCGGUGCUGGAAGGUUAAGAGGAGUGGUUAGCUUCUGCGAAGCUACGAAUCGAAGCCCCAGUAAACGGCGGCCGUAACUAUAACGGUCCUAAGGUAGCGAAAUUCCUUGUCGGGUAAGUUCCGACCCGCACGAAAGGCGUAACGAUUUGGGCACUGUCUCAACGAGAGACUCGGUGAAAUCAUAGUACCUGUGAAGAUGCAGGUUACCCGCGACAGGACGGAAAGACCCCGUGGAGCUUUACUGUAGCCUGAUAUUGAAAUUCGGCACAGCUUGUACAGGAUAGGUAGGAGCCUUUGAAACGUGAGCGCUAGCUUACGUGGAGGCGCUGGUGGGAUACUACCCUAGCUGUGUUGGCUUUCUAACCCGCACCACUUAUCGUGGUGGGAGACAGUGUCAGGCGGGCAGUUUGACUGGGGCGGUCGCCUCCUAAAAGG